GUGCCACUGCACUCAAGCCUGGGUGACAGAGCAAGACUCUGUCUCCAAAAGCAAACAAACAAACAAACAAAACUAUACUGGGCGUGCCUGCCUAUCAGACACCCAAUCUUGCAAGACCACCAUUAAAAGUCUCACUUUUGCUGUUCUCCGAGUCUCUGAAUCCAUUCUUUGGGUUUGGAAGGGUGAGUUUGUUUUUCACAAUCUGGUGGCCAUACGGGGAUCUCUGUGCCUGCAUGGAGAGGGGAGACGUGCCCCACUUGAUUUAUGUGGCCCGCUCUGUCUGGAUGUCCCGGCUCCCCACAGAAGCCACAGACAAACCGGAGACCAUGAUUCAGGAGAUAACAAAAGUGACACAGGAAGAAAAGCAGGCACCGCGGCAACCAGACAACCUCGUGCACGAACCACGGUGGGAAAAUGGGACUGUCACCACUUCCAGCCUGGCGACUUGGUGCUAAUUAAGACUUGGAAGGAAGACAAUCUCCACCCAAGCUGGGAAGGUUCCUAUCAAGUGCUCGUGAUCACUGAGACAGCCGUAGGAACAGCUGAACGGGGUGGACACUCACACUCGGGUCAAGAGACUGGUAAAAGAAACCCCAGAAGGAAGGGAAAAAGAAACUUUGCUCUGGUGGAGGAAACAAACAUGGACACAUUGUGAGAGUUCCAGGAAGUGGCCACUUGGAGGUGGUAUCAAAGUGCUGUGGGAAUCCACUUGGGAUUGCUGGGUAUGUCACUGUCAAGGGGAGGGAGCUGAGUUUCAGCUUGAUCCUUCAAGACAGGCACUCAAGUGUGGAAAGGGAUGGGCCAUGGGCAUGUUUCCAUAGGACCAGAGAUAGACCUAGGUUCAAAUCCUGACUCAAACUACUUAUUAGCUUUAUGAUAAUGAGAAAGUUACUUACACUCUCUGAGCUUCAGUUUCCUUAUCUGUGAAAUGGAGAUGAUAACAUUUACAUAUAUUGCUAGUUUAUUGUGAAUACUUUAAAAGAAGUAAUUGUAUUAGUCCAUUUUUUGCUGCUGUGAAUACAUACACGAGACUGGGUAAUUUAUAAAGGAAAGAGGUUUAAUUGACUCAAUUCAGCAUGGCUGGGGAGGUCUCAGGAAACUUACUAUCAUGGCAGAAAGGGAAGCAAACGUGUCCUUCUUCACAUGGCAGCAGGGAGAAGAAGAAUGAGUGAAAAGGGAAAAGCCCCUUUUAAAACCAUCAUAUCUCGUGAGAACUCACUAUCAUGAGAACAGCAUGGAGGUAACUACCCCCACGAUUCAAUUACCUCCCACUGGGUCCCUCCCACGACAGGUGGGGAUUAUGGAAACUACAAGAUGAGAUUUGGGUGGGGAUACAGCCAAACCAUAUCAAUAAUAUAUAAAGAAUCAAGCCCUCCAUAAAUAGUUAUUAGUAGUACUAUUAUUGUUCCAGGUCCCAUCCUCCAGGAAACCUUUCUUGAUUGCUCUCAAUGAUCUCUCUCCUCUGAAUUCCAGGAAAAGCCAUUGCGCUGAUUGCUUGGCUUUAUUACACAGUGCUUUGUACUAUUGAUAUUGUGAGUUUGAAUCUCAGUUCAUAAACUUAUACAUGCCCAAAACAUCUAAUUUCUUCAUAUUCUGGAAAUCAAAUUAACUUCAACCUUUAGUCUCUAUCCCAUCAAAAUGGCUGUCAAUUCAACUUAGGGGGACUUCCCUGAAUUGUGCCAACGUUCUGCGACUCCUGCAGUGAUAUGGCAUUAGAGGAGCCUCCUAGUCUACUGUCCAUCCAGGUUACCAUUUAAUGCCCCAGCCCUCAUCACCUUGAUUCGUGUCUCUGCUUCAUAGCCUGCCAUGCCUAGGGAAUCUUUGAGGCUGGGAGAAUAAGGUUAAGGAUGCAGCAUCUCUGGGGUCUGACAUGGCCAUUCACCCUGGAGUCCAGCCACAUCACUGGUGUUUUUUCAUCUGAAAAAUGGUAUAAUAAUAAUAGUAAGAGUUAUUAAGCAACUAAUAUAUUCCAGGCAAUUUGCUAGAUCUUUUGAAUACGUUGUCUCAUUUAAUCUUCCCACCCACUCUGUGAAAGAGACUCUGUUAUUACUUUCAGGAACUUUGCUCUGGUGGAGGAGACAAACAUGGACACAUUGUGAUAGUACCAGGAGCUGGCCACUUGGAGGUGGGAUCUAUUAUUAACCACAUUUAGGACUCUUCAAGCUCAAAAACUUGCCCAAGAUCACAUAGUUACAGAGUAGCAGAGGCAAGAUUUUAAUCGUUGUCUCCAAAGUUUGGUUGGUUAACCACCAUGCUCUAUACCCAGUUUGCAGGGUAGUUCUAAAGAUUAGAGCUAAUGUGUGAAAGUGCCAAGAACAGUAUUGGACACAUAAUAGGCACUCAAUUAGGUACAGAUAUUGUUGUUAUUUUUCAAAAGUGGUAUUUCUAGCUGCUGCUAUGAGCUUGCCCAGUUUCCCACUGCAGGGCUGUUGGGAGAAUAGGUGGGAACAAGGAAGCUUUUUAUAGGUUGGCCCAGUUUCCCCUAUUAAUGAGUCCAUUUAUUCAUUCAUUCAACAAAUAAUUUAUUGAGUAAUUACUAUGUGUCAGGCACUGUUCUAUGCACUGGGAAAAUGACAAUGAGCAAAAAUAAUAAAAUCCCUGCUCUCAUGGAACUUAUAGCCUAGCGGAGGAGGGGACAGACACUAAACAAAUAAAAAGUAGAUAGAUGAUGUCUCAAAUGGUAAUAUGCAUUUUGAAAAAAUUAAUCUGAUAGGGGGUUAGAGAGUGAUAGAUGGAGAUAUACAUCUAUUUAUAUAAGGCGGACAGGGAAGACCUCUCUGAUAAAGUGAACUUUGGGCAGAGACCUGAAGGAAGUGAGGAAUUGAACCAUGCAGAUAUCUGGGGAUGUGGGUGACAGGCAGAGAGAAAGAUUCUGAGGUGGCACAGACCCUUGGUAUGUUUGAAGAGCAGUGGAAGCCUAGGGAAUGAGUAUAAACAGAAAAAAAGUGGGUUGGUGUCUUAGAUCAGAAUCCCUAGAAGCAGAACUGAGAUAGGGAUUCGAGUGUAUGUGAUCUUUGAGGGAGUGCUGUCAGGAGAAAACGAGUGAGGGAAACAGAAUAGGACAGGAGAAAGAGCUAGGCAAAGAUAUGGUCUUUAGUUUGAUCCUGUGAGAACUCUGGAGCAUGAAUUAUUCCACAAAGCUGGUUCUACCAAGGCAAGGAAUUGGCCUUUUUUACUUGACCUCGUUUAGUCAUUAGUCAUUAGUCAUUAGUCAUUAGUCAAUGACAGGUCUGCGGGGCAGUGGAGAGCAGUAGUUAAUCUCUCAGGCAAAGCAGAUCCACUUUGUGGAGAGCAAUUCUCCAGAGGAGAAGGAAAUGAUGACCCAUUAGUAGCCAACACUCACAGGAGCUGAGGAAUGGGUACAACUAGCCCUGUAAAGGAGAUCUAAGUAGGACAACAGCAUCCAUUACAGAUGGGAAAUGAACCCUAAGAGGCUCUAACACUUUGAGGUUGAGAGGAUAAAGAGAAAGAAAACUGAGAAGCAACCAAUGAGGUAGGAAGAGAACCAAGAAUAUGUGGUAUCCAGAAAGUCAAGAAAUAAAAUUAUAUCAAGAAUGAUGGAGUAUUGAGGAAAGAGAGGGGGAAGGGAGCAAUUAACUGAGUCAUAUAAUCACUCUGUUAGCCUCCAAGAUGGCCCCCCAAUGACUCUUGCUUCAUGGUACACAUGUCCCCAUGUAAUCUCUUUCUACUUUGAAUCAGACUAACUUGUGUAACCAGUAAGAUAUUCCGAAAAUAAUGGAGUGCAACUUAUGAGACCAGAUCAUAAAAGAUAUUUCAACUUCUGCUUUGUUCUCUUUGAAAUCCCUUCUCCCAGAGGAGAAGCCAGUUGCCAUAUUGUGAGGAUGCUCAAGCAACCUUAUGAAGAGGUCUACAUGGUGAAGAACUAAGGCCUACUAUCAAAAACAAACACUAAUUUGCCAGACAUAUAAUCAGCUUCUGAUAACUGUAGAGAAAAGUAUGGGCAGAAAGGAGAAAGUAAGCCAAGAGGGGAGCUGGAAGUCAGGACCUACUGCCUUGGAAAGCCAUCGUGCUGUGAGGACUCUUCAUCAUUCCUCAAGUCUCCCUCUGAUGCCGAGCAGAAGCUGGACUGUACUGC
rnacentral:lncRNA from 1 species